rnacentral:rRNA from 1 species
CCUACGGGAGGCAGCAGUAGGGAAUAUUGCUCAAUGGGGGAAACCCUGAAGCAGCAACGCCGCGUGGAGGAUGAAGGUUUUCGGAGGGUAAACUCCUUUUGGUAGAGAAGAGAAUGACGGUAGCUAACGAAUAAGCACCGGCUAACGCCGUGCCAGCAGCCGCGGUAAUACGGAGGGUGCAAGCGUUACUCGGAAGCACUGGGCGUAAAGAGCGCGUAGGCGGGAUAGCAAGUCAGAUGUGAAAUCCUAGGGCUUAACCAUAGAACUUCAUUUGAAACUGUUAUUCUAGAGUAUGGGAGCGGUCGGUGGAAUUCUUGGUGUAGCGGUCACCUCCGUAGCGAUCCAG